CACACAAACACAGUUACAGGCAGACAAUUACAAACACACGCAGGUACAGAUGGACAGUCACGUACAUACAGCCACAUAUACAGUGUCACACACACAGUGUUACAUACAGAUAGCCAUACACACACAGGCAGACAGACAGUCACACACACACACACACAGGCAGACAGACACAGGCAGCCACACACACGCACACAGGCAGACAGCCAUGCACACAG